UACGGGGGGGAGCAAGCGUUGUUCGGAUUUACUGGGCGUAAAGGGCGCGUAGGCGGCGCAACAAGUCACUUGUGAAAUCUCCGGGCUUAACCCGGAGCGGCCAAGUGAUACUGUCGUGCUAGAGUGCGGAAGGGGCUACUGGAAUUCUCGGUGUAGCGGUGAAAUGCGUAGAUAUCGAGAGGAACACCUGCGGCGAAGGCGGGUAGCUGGGCCGACACUGACGCUGAGGCGCGAAAGCCAGGGAGCGAACGGG
rnacentral:rRNA from 1 species